UGAAAGGUCACUGGGAAGGUACCAUCAAAUCAUAUUUAUCGCAUCGUGAAUAGAAUAACUUUUAUUUUCAAAGAAGAAAGAAACCGUUUUUUUACAUUUAAAUUAUCCCCCAGACGAAUGUUCUAAUAUUCUGAAGUUCAAGGCAUAUUGAAUUAAAAAUAUUUUUUCAAGAUUCACUGUUAGAAGGCAACAACACCAUUUUAGAGCAGUUGGUAGGGUCCAACGUCCUCUGAGCAAGAGAAGUAGAAGGCCAAGACUAGGAAGUAUGGUGAACUUUGCUGCCCUGAUGCGUGACCAUUGGGUUAACAUAUUUGUCCCCCUUGGCUUUGUGAUCGGGAUCUACAUGGACAGAGCACAGGACCAGAAGCUAACCGCUUUCAGGAACAAAAGCGCAUUGUACAGCAGGGAGCUGAAGCCUGGCGAGGAAGUCACCUGGAAGUAGACCCACCUGUCUUGGAAUAUUUAUUGUGCGUUAGUCACAUCUCCUGUUGUGUGAUUUACACUUUCUGGAUGGUCUUCAAAUCAAGCACCCCGAUACGUUUCAGUCACUGUAUCCACCAAUAAACAUGUCCUGUUGUCAUCUUAA